rnacentral:rRNA from 1 species
UACAGAGGGGGCAAGCGUUGUUCGGAAUUACUGGGCGUAAAGGGCGCGUAGGCGGCCUGCUAAGUCGAACGUGAAAUCCCUGGGCUCAACCCAGGAACUGCGUCCGAUACUGGUUGGCUUGAAUCCGGGAGAGGGAUGUGGAAUUCCAGGUGUAGCGGUGAAAUGCGUAGAUAUCUGGAGGAACACCGGUGGCGAAGGCGGGUAGCUGGGCCGACACUGACGCUGAGGCGCGAAAGCCAGGGGAGCGAACGGG